rnacentral:rRNA from 1 species
AUACGUAGGGGGCGAGCGUUAUCCGGAUUCAUUGGGCGUAAAGCGCGCGUAGGCGGCCUGCUAGGUCGGGACUCAAAUCCGGGGGCUCAACCCCCGCCCGGUCCCGAUACCGACAGGCUUGAGUCUGGUAGGGGAAGGCGGAAUUCCAAGUGUAGCGGUGGAAUGCGCAGAUAUUUGGAAGAACACCGGUGGCGAAGGCGGCCUUCUGGGCCACGACUGACGCUGAGGCGCGAAAGCUAGGGGAGCGAACAGGAUUAGAUACCCGGGUAGUCCUAGCCGUAAACGAUGGACACUAGGUGUGGGGGGAUGUGCCCUCCGUGCCGCAGCCAACGCAUUAAGUGUCCCGCCUGGGGAGUACGGCCGCAAGGCUAAAACUCAAAUGAAUUGACGGGG